rnacentral:lncRNA from 1 species
AUUCCCCUACAAAAAUUCCCAUAUCUCUUUUAAAUAUUUUAAUGAAAAUGACUAAUACAUUUUCCUCUUUCCUGUUGCCACAUCAGUCUGCUCAAGGACGCGCAGUAAGAUGUCAAUGUAAUCACCAGAGGGCCCCAUCUUUGAUUCAACAAAGCGACAGGAUGUCAGAGAGAAGAGGGCAACAAGGCAAUGACAAGGCUACCCAAACAUACUGGAGACCACCAAGCAACCCUAGAUGCAACACGAGUCUAUUCCAAGCACCACGCCACACGAAACCCUAAACGUUAAUGGAGAAGACCCACGACCCCAGUGACUGAGGGAGAGACAGAGAGCUGUUCUGUGUCCUCAAAUACUACAGUCUUUACACCCCAACGAGGACCUCCACCAGGGAAGACUAAUAAGAGCUCGCCCCACCGCGGCCCACAGUAGCUUCAGAAGAUGUAAAUCAGAGGAACCAGCCUAUGAAGGUGCUGACCAACCUUUUAAAGGUCUUUUUCCAGAUGAGUCUAGGCCAGUAGAUCCUGGCGAGGGGAAUCGUUCCUGUAGCACCGCGUUACGCAACCCAGUUUCUGGGACUCCACGGGGGAUAAGUGCGAGAGAUGGUCCAGUAUCAGCAGCUCCGUCUGCAGCACAGCAGGAGUGGAGAAUCCCCGCUGUGACACUAAAGAACACUGUCACCCCUCCAGCUGCUGGUUCCACUUGCUACGACACGCUGCCGCCGAUUCGACUUCACAAGCGCAUGCCUCUUCCUACAUCCAAACCAGGGGGCACUGGUGGCUUUGCUUUGCCGAAGCCGAGGUCUUCCCCAGUAUUGCUGGCAAACCAGUCUAAGCUGCUUCCGCCUCCAACUAAAGGCCUUCCCUGCUUUAACAGCAGGCCGCAGGUGCAGGCCCCCAGUGCUUCGUACUUUGUUGCUUCAGCCUCACAGAACUUCAGAGACUUGCAGGGAUACACAAGGAAGAAAGCAGCCAGAGAACAUUCAAACAACUCGUGUCAGCCACAGCCUGGAUCCCCUUAAGCAGCUCACGCCUCCUCAAGCCAAAGAAUCCCUGCGGAGGUGAAAUUUGUUCAUGAGCACAAAGCUAAAGUUACUCCAAUGUUGACAACAGUCCUUUUUUUUUUUUAUUUAUUUUUUUUUCUCUUGGUAGGUUUUCUUUUUGAGUUGUAACAGAACUAGCUCUAAGUACAGUAUAGGCUGGUACACUGCACUUGUUGAUGUAUUGGUAAACAGCUUAAACGGGAUGCAUUAUUUGUUUUUGUAUGACUCACACAACUCCAUUAGAUACAGAUUGCGUUAUUUAUUAAACACAGUUCAGUUUCUACAGUCCCAUGAGACAUAGACACAUUUAUACUGCUGUCAGAGGGAAAACCAGUAAAUGGCAUAUGGAGAGGGUGAAGAUGGAUAAAUGGCACCAGAAUUAUAAUACUGAAAUUAAAAUCAGUAAAUAAAGAAUAAAAACAGCACUACGUAAAAUAAUGA